CUAUGAAUGUGACAGAAGUAUUCUUGCUUAAUUAGGUGUGCCAACAAUGUCCCAACUAGGGCUUAAGGAGAAGUAUAACAAAAAUAGAAAGCUUAUUAGAGUUGCACCAGAAACUUCUCCCAUAGCGGGUUCUAACAAGGAGAUAGAAGAACAGUCAGAUGUGGCUACAACUAAAGCUUUUCCAAAAGCAACGGGUGCAGUUAUAUACUUGAAAUCUAUUAAUUAAUAGUUCCUUGACUACUUAUUAAUUAAAUAUACAAUAGUAUGACGGAAAUAUUCGUGUUUAAUUAGGUGCUCCAACAGUUUCUCAACAAGGGCUUAAGAAGAAGCAUCACAAACACAAAUAUCUUAUUUGAGUUGCACCUGAAUCUUCAUUGAUAGCAGGUUCUAACAAAUAGAUAGAAGAAAACUCAGAUGUGGCUUCAACAAAAGUGUUGCCAAAAGCAAUGGGUGCAGGUGCUCCAACAAUGUCUCAACAAGGGCUUAAGAAAAAGUAUCCCAAACACAGAAAGCUUAUUGAGGUUGCACUAGAAACUUCUCCGACAGCGGAUUCUAACAAGGAGAUAGAAGAACAAUCAGAUGUGGCUUCAGCAAAAGCUUUUCCAAAAGCAACGGGUGCAAGUGCUCUAAUAAUGCCUCAACAAGGGCUUAAGAAAAAGUAUUACAAACACAUAAAGCUUAUUGGAGUUGCACCAGAAACUUCUCCGAUAGCGGGUUUUAACAAGGAGAUAGAAGAAUAAUUAGAUGUGGCUUCAGAAAUAGCUUUCCCAAAAGCAACGGGUGCUCCAAUAGUGUCACAACAAGGACUUAAGAAGAAGUAUCACAAACACAGAAAGCUUAUUAGAGUUGCACCAGAAACUUCUCCGAUGGUGGGUUCUAAGAAGGAGAUAGAAGAACAGUCAGAUGUGACUUCAGCAAAAGCUUUCCAAAAAGCAAUGGGUGCAGGUGCUCCAACUGUGUCUCAACAAGGGCUUAAGGAGAAGUAUAAUAAACACAGAAAGCUUAUUGGAGUUGCACCGUAAACUUCUCUUUUAGCGCGUUCUAACAAUGAAGUAGAAGAAUAGUCUGAUGUGGCUUCAGCAAAGCUUUCCCAAAUGCAACAGGUGCUCCAACAGUAUCUCAAGAAGGGCUUAAGAAGUAUCACAAAUACAGAAAGCUUAUUGGAGUUGCACCUGAAGCUUCUCCAAUUGCAGCUUGUAACAAGAAGAUAGAAGAACACUCAUAUGUGGCUUCAACAAAGGCUUUCCCAAAAGCAAUGGGUGCAUUAUUCGUUUUUAAUUAGGUGCUCCAACGUCUCAACAAGGGCUUAAGAAAAAGUAUCAAAAACAAAGAAAGCUUAUUGGAGUUGCUCUAGAAACUUUUCCGAUAGUGGGUUCUAACAAGGGGAUAAAAGAACAAUCAGAUGUGGCUUCAGCAAAAGCUUUGCGAAAAGCAAUGGGUGCAGUUAUAUGCUUGAAUCUAUUAAUUGAGAUAGUCUCUUGACUGUUUAUUCAUUGAAUAACAACAGAUGACAGAAGU